rnacentral:rRNA from 1 species
AUUGAACGCUGGCGGCAGGCCUAACACAUGCAAGUCGAGCGGAUGAAGGGAGCUUGCUCCUGGAUUCAGCGGCGGACGGGUGAGUAAUGCCUAGGAAUCUGCCUGGUAGUGGGGGAUAACGUCCGGAAACGGGCGCUAAUACCGCAUACGUCCUGAGGGAGAAAGUGGGGGAUCUUCGGACCUCCCGCUCUCAGGUGAUCCUAGGUCGGAUUAGCUAGUUGGUGGGGUAAAGGCCUACCAAGGCGACGAUCCGUAACUGGUCUGAGAGGAUGAUCAGUCACACUGGAACUGAGACACGGUCCAGACUCCUACGGGAGGCAGCAGUGGGGAAUAUUGGACAAUGGGCGAAAGCCUGAUCCAGCCAUGCCGCGUGUGUGAAGAAGGUCUUCGGAUUGUAAAGCACUUUUGGUUGGGAGGAAGGGCAGUAAGUUAAUACCUUGCUGUUUUGACGGUACCAAAAGAAUAAGCACCGGCUAACUUCGUG